AGAACAUAACAAAUAUAUAAAGAGUGGAGGAGGAAGAAAAAGAAGGAAUAAAACCCUUUAGAUUAAAUAGAGGUGUUAACAGCAACUGGAUCUUGUCGCCUUUGGGGGGCUGUGACUGUGCCCUUCAAAGUGAAUUUGGAGGUUCUACACUC